AGUGAACGCUGGCGGUAGGCCUAACACAUGCAAGUCGAACGGCAGCACAGGAGAGCUUGCUCUCUGGGUGGCGAGUGGCGGACGGGUGAGGAAUACAUCGGAAUCUACUCUGUCGUGGGGGAUAACGUAGGGAAACUUACGCUAAUACCGCAUACGACCUACGGGUGAAAGCAGGGGACCUUCGGGCCUUGCGCGAUUGAAUGAGCCGAUGUCGGAGUAGCUAGUUGGCGGGGUAAAGGCCCACCAAGGCGACGAUCCGUAGCUGGUCUGAGAGGAUGAUAAGCCACACUGGAACUGAGACACGGUCCAGACUCCUACGGGAGGCAGCAGUGGGGAAUAUUUGACAAUGGGCGCAAGCCUGAUCCAGCCAUACCGCGUGGGUGAAGAAGGCCUUCGGGUUGUAAAGCCCUUUUGUUGGGAAAGAAAUCCAGCUGGCUAAUACCCGGUUGGGAUGACGGUACCCAAAGAAUAAGCACCGGCUAACUUCGUGCCAGCAGCCGCGGUAA
rnacentral:rRNA from 1 species